rnacentral:rRNA from 1 species
CCUACGGGGGGCUGCAGCUAAGAAUCUUCCGCAAUGGGCGAAAGCCUGACGGAGCGACGCCGCGUGAACGAAGAAGGCCGUGAGGUUGUAAAGUUCUUUUCGGGAGGGGGAACAACCGUGGCAGGGAAUGGCCGCGGGAUGACGUGAAUCCCGGAAUAAGCCCCGGCUAACUACGUGCCAGCAGCCGCGGUAACACGUAGGGGGCGAGCGUUGUUCGGAAUCAUUGGGCGUAAAGGGCGUGCAGGCGGUCCUGCAAGUCCGGCGUGAAAGACCCCGGCCCAACCGGGGGGACGCGCUGGAAACUGCAGGGCUUGAGUACAGGAGGGGAUGCCGGAAUUCCAGGUGUAGGGGUGAAAUCUGUAGAUAUCUGGAAGAACACCAAUGGCGAAGGCAGGCAUCUGGCCAUGUACUGACGCUGAGGCGCGAAGGUGCGGGGAGCAAACAGGCUUAGAUACCCCAGUAGUC